rnacentral:miRNA from 1 species
AGGGCAAUCCUGGAGACGCUGA